ACGGCAGCACGGAGCUUGCUCUGGUGGCGAGUGGCGAACGGGUGAGUAAUAUAUCGGAACGUACCCUAGAGUGGGGGAUAACGUAGCGAAAGUUACGCUAAUACCGCAUACGAUCUAAGGAUGAAAGUGGGGGAUCGCAAGACCUCAUGCUCGUGGAGCGGCCGAUAUCUGAUUAGCUAGUUGGUAGGGUAAAAGCCUACCAAGGCAUCGAUCAGUAGCUGGUCUGAGAGGACGACCAGCCACACUGGAACUGAGACACGGUCCAGACUCCUACGGGAGGCAGCAGUGGGGAAUUUUGGACAAUGGGCGAAAGCCUGAUCCAGCAAUGCCGCGUGAGUGAAGAAGGCCUUCGGGUUGUAAAGCUCUUUUGUCAGGGAAGAAACGGUGAGAGCUAAUAUCUCUUGCUAAUGACGGUACCUGAAGAAUAAGCACCGGCUAACUACGUGCCAGCAGCCGCGGUAAUACGUAGGGUGCAAGCGUUAAUCGGAAUUACUGGGCGUAAAGCGUGCGCAGGCGGUUUUGUAAGUCUGAUGUGAAAUCCCCGGGCUCAACCUGGGAAUUGCAUUGGAGACUGCAAGGCUAGAAUCUGGCAGAGGGGGGUAGAAUUCCACGUGUAGCAGUGAAAUGCGUAGAUAUGUGGAGGAACACCGAUGGCGAAGGCAGCCCCCUGNGUCAAGAUUGACGCUCAUGCACGAAAGCGUGGGGAGCAAACAGGAUUAGAUACCCUGGUAGUCCACGCCCUAAACGAUGUCUACUAGUUGUCGGGUCUUAAUUGACUUGGUAACGCAGCUAACGCGUGAAGUAGACCGCCUGGGAGUACGGUCGCAAGA
rnacentral:rRNA from 1 species